GGGGGCGGAUGACGCACAUGGGUGAUUCUGUCCCGCUCUCCAUAGAAGGCGAGAGGGGGCGUGGCCUUUCCGGCACGUCGCUGGAAUGUAUCUGUUGACGCACGCCGUUUCCUAUGACGCAGGGCGCAUUGUUUGAUCUAUUAAUAGCACGGCGCUCUAUUAAUAGCCGGGCGGCUGGAGGGACGCAGCCCUGAAAUAGCAGCCUGGGGUGGGGGAGACCCCGUACGGACGUCAUCACCCGGCCGAUAUAGCACGGGGCACAGGCUUCCCUGGGAUUCUCGGUAUAAUUACGGCUGUACGGAUUCCAUAGGAGGAGACGGAGCUGUCAUGUGAUGUCAGGUGCUCGGGGUGACAUCACUACAGCCGGGACGUGUGACCCAGGACCUGGCCAGAUAUUACUACUACACACGGGUGUGAUCUCCCUGCCGGGGACAACCAGGAGGAGGCUGACGUCACUGCACGAUGGAUAGAACAUGGAGUCCAGAAUGAUGGAUCAUUUUUUUGGUAGCACAAAGCUGCAAAAUGUGAAUAUAUCCGAAAGCAUUGUGUGGACAUCUGCCUUCAGCCAAUGUAAGACCAGGAAAAGCCCUCUUAAUACUUAGUGAAAGUGACAAGAAAGGAAACAUAGUGAUGCAGCAUUUAUAUAAAAAGAUUAUUGAAGCCAAAUUCCAUUGCUUUCUCUUCAAUAGCAAUAAUUUUACGUAUGACAUUUGCUGCUACUUGGCAUCCUUUAUAACUUUAUGGUGAACUUAUGAUCAAGACCGCAGUCGUUGAAACAUGUCAAGUAUAUUGUCUGUACUGUAACAUGCUUUUAAGAAGAUUUAACCAAUAAAG